rnacentral:rRNA from 1 species
AUUGAACGCUGGCGGCAUGCCUUACACAUGCAAGUCGAACGGUAACAGGUCUUCGGAUGCUGACGAGUGGCGAACGGGUGAGUAAUGCAUCGGAACGUGCCCAGUAGUGGGGGAUAGCCCGGCGAAAGCCGGAUUAAUACCGCAUACGACCUGAGGGUGAAAGGGAGGGAUCGCAAGACCUCUCGCUAUUGGAGCGGCCGAUGUCAGAUUAGCUAGUUGGUGGGGUAAAGGCCCACCAAGGCAACGAUCUGUAGUUGGUCUGAGAGGACGACCAGCCACACUGGGACUGAGACACGGCCCAGACUCCUACGGGAGGCAGCAGUGGGGAAUUUUGGACAAUGGGCGCAAGCCUGAUCCAGCAAUGCCGCGUGCAGGAAGAAGGCCUUCGGGUUGUAAACUGCUUUUGUCAGGGAAGAAAUCUUCUGGGUUAAUACCUCGGGAGGAUGACGGUACCUGAAGAAUAAGCACCGGCUAACUACGUG